GACGAACGCUGGCGGCGUGCUUAACACAUGCAAGUCGAACGGAGUGGCGAACGGGUGAGUAACGCGUCAUCAACCUGCCCUUCAGGGGGGGACAACAGUUGGAAACGACUGCUAAUACCGCAUACUGCAGGUGGUGAUUGCGUCUGAUUCGCUAGUGGGAGGGGUAACGGCCCACCAAGGUGAGGAUCAGUAGGCGGUCUGAGAGGUAGAACGGCUAAAUUGGGAGUGAGAAACGGCACAGACUGCUACGGGAGGCAGCAGUGGGGAAUCUUACGGAAGGGAGGAAAGGCUGACGGAGCAAAGCCGGGUGAGUGAUGACGGAGUUCGGGUUGGAAAGCUAUGUUAAUCGGGACGCGGUACCGGAAUAGAAAGCAACGGCUAACUACGUGCCAGCAGCCGCGGUAAUAC
rnacentral:rRNA from 1 species